rnacentral:rRNA from 1 species
AAUUAUAGUUGUGUCUACGGCCAUACCCGAUCCCGUCUGAUCUCGGAAGCUAAGCAGGGUCAGGCCUGGUUAGUACUUGGAUGGGAGACCACCUAGGAAUACCGGGUGCUGUAGGCU